rnacentral:rRNA from 1 species
UUUUGUAUAAUGGGUCAGCGACUUAUAUUCUGUAGCAAGGUUAACCGAAUAGGGGAGCCGAAGGGAAACCGAGUCUUAACUGGGCGUUAAGUUGCAGGGUAUAGACCCGAAACCCGGUGAUCUAGCCAUGGGCAGGUUGAAGGUUGGGUAACACUAACUGGAGGACCGAACCGACUAAUGUUGAAAAAUUAGCGGAUGACUUGUGGCUGGGGGUGAAAGGCCAAUCAAACCGGGAGAUAGCUGGUUCUCCCCGAAAGCUAUUUAGGUAGCGCCUCGUGAAUUCAUCUCCGGGGGUAGAGCACUGUUUCGGCAAGGGGGUCAUCCCGACUUACCAACCCGAUGCAAACUGCGAAUACCGGAGAAUGUUAUCACGGGAGACACACGGCGGGUGCUAACGUCCGUCGUGAAGAGGGAAACAACCCAGACCGCCAGCUAAGGUCCCAAAGUCAUGGUUAAGUGGGAAACGAUGUGGGAAGGCCCAGACAGCCAGGAUGUUGGCUUAGAAGCAGCCAUCAUUUAAAGAAAGCGUAAUAGCUCACUGGUCGAGUCGGCCUGCGCGGAAGAUGUAACGGGG